AAUUACACUACGGUUAGGGACAGGUAAAAGGAGGUAGAUGAAAAACAUUGAGAGGGAAACUCUCCAACCCGAACUUCUAACAGGAAGUUUGUGGGUAGACAGGAUGUGCUGCACUGUUGUUGAAAAGAGUAAGCUAUCUUUUUGAUUAGAGCAGGCAAAAAUAGUUAAUCUACAGAAGUCGGUUUGUCCCUCAAUAGACCUACCUGUGGCUUGAACUCACACAAGAUUAGAACGAUAGCAGGUUGAUGGUGCAGGAGAGGGUUCUCUAGAUUGAUGAGUAACCUGUCAAAAACUAUCUUAGCUAAGGUGUUGCUAUUUGAUACUGAUGGUAAUAAAUGUAUGUUUUGGCUACAAAUACAAAAUGUACGGGGCCAUGAAUAAGAGACAUAGAUGUUGCUCUGUUAUGGCUUCCCCUAAUACCUGUGGUUACUUGAAGAGAAGAAUGAAGUUUUUGGUAGUUGUGGCUGCUGCUCUGGCAGUGGCGAGCGCUGCUAGCCUUUCACUGGAGGACCUGGAGUUCCAUGCCUGGAAACUGAUGUUUGGUAAGAGAUGCAUCUUUAGCCUAUUUCAUUUCAGCCUCUUAUCAUUGACAAUAAUGGAGUGUGUGACUCUCUCCUCUGUUCUUCAUGUUUAUUAUCUGUCAAUCUGAACCUCUUCUUUCUCACUGUCGUGUUAAAGAUGAUAUAGAGCAGGGGUCGCCAACCUUUACUUUCAUAAGAGCUACUUCAUACAAAUAAAACAUUUAUGGAGCUACUCACAGCCUGCAUAUUUUGUUAUUGUAGGCGUAUAUUUAAUAGAGGCACCCAGCGCUUAAUUUAUAUUAUUAUUAUUAUUAUUAUUAUUAUAGAAAGAGCAGAAAUAAGAGCUCUCAUCAGUUUAAUGAAAUUAGUUUUGUUGUUUAUUAAACAUGCCAAUAUUGAUGUUCCCGAAAAGAUUUCAGUUGGUUUUCCAUUUUGUGGCUUAAAAGUGGGCUACUGUCUGUCUAUUCUUCAAAGUGCAGUUGCAUCCUCGCCUGCUGUCUAUAGGCCAGCAUUCAGGUAAACGUGUCCCAAUUCAACCGCAAAUAAUGUCGCAAAGCCUAUCUAACGUAUCUAGACCUAAGCAUAACAGUAACCUAUCUAUACGGGGAAGAAAAUCAAACAAAUGGGCAUAUUAGAUAAUUUAAAGUAAAUGAUGCAGUGCAACACUGGAGCGAUAGAGAGAGAGAGAGUCGCAGGCUUAUGUCUAUCAGAGCAGAGGUAGGGAGAUGGCUAGGAGCACAGUUCUCUCUCUUUGUCACCACAGCAAAGGCCACUUGUUGGUUUCAAAACAUAGCCUACAAAGUUGCACAAACAUAAGAACAGUCACGGCCCACACAAAUCAAUUCUGAAAAUAUCGUCAAGAGAAUUAACAAGGAGUCAAUCAGUAUACUUAUAACAACUUAAGCAUUACAGAACUUCUAUUCUAUCAAAUAAACCAUAUAAGGGCAAAUUAACCAUUCCAUUUGAGGGGCUAAAUUCGAAACUCCUCGAUUGGUGAGCAAAAGAAACUAACAACGCCACCUGCUGGAG
rnacentral:lncRNA from 8 species